GAAAUUAAAAUAUAUAAAAGAAMGUUGUUAAAAAACUAAUUUCAACUGAUUUGCUUCACCUGGGCUGCAGCUGCUCGGCUCGGUUCUGCGACGGAGUUCGUCUUCAGGUGUUUGACAUGGAGAAAAUGAAAAUUAGGAGGACACUGCUCCAGCGCUCUCAUUGCCCUUCAGCAGCCGGCUCCAAAGGCACGGCCCAGAGGAGGGUCAGGCAGGAGAGGCCCGAGGCUCACGUCUGAUCUGAAAAGAGGAUUCUUGUCUGCCGGCCUGGGAUUUACUGAAGCAGAGCCGUCGUUCCUGCAGUCGAAGGAGAGUUCAAGGUUUCUUGGAACGAGCAGCAGGACUCUGUUUCUCCACAUCAGAUCCUCACAUCGAGUUAAUGUUUUGAACUAUGAACAAUAUCAGCUGAUCAUCACUGACAUCCUUCAGUCCGUGCUUGCUUGCAAAUGAGGGUCUGCACAGAGAAGAUAAGGCACUCCCAGCCAAGGACUGAGGGCACCAAAUCAACCAGGAAUAAAAAAAAAAGUAGAGAGGGGAAGAAAUUCUCUCAAAGGAAACAACAAGACAUCCGUGUCUUCUGCAUGGGAUGUGAACGUAACUCUGCCCGGUUAGGUCCAGUGGCACCCAAGGUCGGCAGGCAGGGAUGUGAAAUCAGAAUCAGAAAGGCUGUUUGAGGGAGAACCCGAUGCCACGAGAUGGUCAGAGGAAGUCUCUGCAGUCCUUUUAUCUUCAGUGAGCACCAAAUCCCACAAGCCCUCUGAGGAUACGUCUACAAAAUGACUCACCAGAGUGAUGAGCAGCGGUUCAAACCACCCUGCCCAAUGUCACAGAGCUGACUGCCCCCCCGACACAUCCCACUGGUUCUGGACUCUAAGUUACUCAAAAGACCUUGGUAAUGCUUCCUGUGAGAACUGUGGGAUUUUCACACGCCUUCCUCAGUCCUGCUGAUCUCUCCUCUGAUUGGCUGGCUGCGGUUUUUCUAAGGCAUUUGUUGAUACAAUACAAACUUCUAUUGAUCCAAUGGACAUGAUCACUCAUUCGAAUGGAAACGCACAGCUAAAACAAGCAACUUGGGUGUGAAAUAUAUUAAACCUUUGAGAAAACAAUGGGCAAGAGACACAGGGAUUAAAUCACUGAGGAAAAAAAAUAUAAAAACAACAACAAGCCUGCUGUUCAAUUUCUGCUCUCCUCGAACAUGGCCGCUCAUAAUUUGAGCCUCAGCGAGGUCUGAUAAAUUUUACAUUAUUGAUAUGAUCUUCAGGCUCUCGGGCAGGGUGUAUGUUAUCACAAGUGACACGCUCAAUCCUUUUCAGAUUAGAUUCCCAAACCAACCCAGAUCCCAGCUGACAACAGCUUUCAGCGGCUGAAAUGAAUCAGCAACGCCUCUUCAAGAGGAGCACAGCUGGACCGGACUAUCUGCCCCUCCCCCCCGCAGACCCGAGGCCAUUCAUAAACACCACAGUGAUAUACCUACUCCCCCAUCACUAGCAGAGAGUCACGAAACAUCACAGCUCUUCUCAGAGUCCAACAAGCUGCUGCAGUGGUUGUGUGGAGAGAAGAGGAGGACAAAAGGAAGCGGUGAGAGCGGCUCCGUCACAUGACUCUGCUAUAUAAAUCAAACAGCUGCCAUCGGUUCCAGCGGGGGCCCCGGAGUGGGAGGGAGGGAUUUCUAGUCCCGGUUUCAGCAGCGAGUGUUUCUGCAGUAAGACGGUUCCAGAUCUAAUCAAAGAUAGACGGCUACACCGGGCCCUCAGCCGGCCUCCGUCAGACCUCUCCUCUGACCACACAGGCAGCUGCUGAUAAGAGGUGAGUGUGAAGCUGCACCCAGCUCAGAGAUCACUACAAACCCUGGUCACAGUCCACUGAGAUCUGCCUGGUAAUACACUAUCUGAGCUCCCUUCAGCUUUCAUCCUGGCUUUGUCAACAAACAUACACAUAAAGAACACGUACACAGAUACGUGGGCCCUGUUUACACGAGACCGGUCUCUGAAAAUGCUCAUGUUUACUGGGGUGAAUACACAAAAAAAUCACCCAUUUACAUGGAACCACUGCAGUAAUGUACCGGGCAGGGUUGCCAAUUGGGACAUAGUAAAGUGUUUUAUUGUUCCUUUAAAAUCAGCUUAUUUUAAGUCAAAACAGCAGAUUUGCU